UCGAGCCACUGAUCUUAUACA
rnacentral:siRNA from 1 species